AUGAAUGAGAACCAAUCGAAAUGCACACUUUCUAUUCAAAUAUUUGAAAUGACUUGAAGUUCUAGAACCCGAUUCCCCUGCAUUCGUUUCUACAGGACAUCGUGCUGAACCACACAUGGGAUUACCAUGAUUAUAAGCUUACAAUAUCGCCAUGGAUAAAAUGGAAAAAGGAGGUCAGUUUGACUACCAAAUGAGCAGUUUAUUUCUGUUCCAGCAAGUGGAAUGGGGUUUGUUUUGGUAGAAGGUAGCUCGGAGAGAUAUAUUUUUUUUGGAAAGGGAAGGGCAUACCGUCCCCAUUCCUGACCAUUGAGGCAGAUCCCGCAAUGUCGCCAGGCCGUCACCGGCCUGAAUACUACGGGUGGUUCAAGCAAAGGACACGGUCGACCCUCCAGCUACGCAGGCUCCCAAACUGUACCAACAUAUAGGAGGGGUUCUGUGACUGGAAGAAGAAACUUGAAGACGGUGUCGAUCGUUGGGAGAUUCGCGAACGAAUGGUGUCUUCAUGCGCAAGACAGACAGGUUUCAACAACCAACGGUCAGGGGUGUGGUUGUCUGUGUCUCUCAACUCCAAUAAUCAAAGGUCGACGGCACCACUUUGAUGUUUGGUACCAUCUCAUCUGACAUGAGCGCGCAAAUCCAAGUAGGACACG